GUAGGUGAACCUGCGGAAGGAUC
rnacentral:ncRNA from 18 species